UACAGAGGGUGCGAGCGUUAAUCGGAAUUACUGGGCGUAAAGCGCACGUAGGUGGCGACGUAAGUCGGGUGUGAAAGCCCCGGGCUCAACCUGGGAAUUGCAUUCGAGACUGCAUUGCUGGAGUACGGAAGAGGAAGGCGGAAUUCCCGGUGUAGCGGUGAAAUGCGUAGAUAUCAGAAGGAACAUCAGUGGCGAAGGCGGCUUUCUGGACCAAUACUGACGCUCAGGUGCGAAAGCGUGGGGAGCAAACAGG
rnacentral:rRNA from 1 species